AAGUCUUUUGAUCAGCUUCCAAGCCAGGACAGGCGGCCAUCAGGGGAUGAAAUGAGAGACAGAGGCUCAUCUGAGUGAUUAUAGAAAACUCUUACCUAACCAGAGCUCAUAAUGUAAUGGUUCAAUGUCCUUCCCUUUGAAUAGUGGGAGUUGAGCUGUAUUUCUUAGACUGGAAACCAGAAUGAAGUGUAUGGAAGUUCCAAACACUGGGAAGGUUUUUGACUUGGCCAAGAAAUUUCUCUGAACUAUACUGGUGAAAGCACUAAGAGGUUCGUGAAGCUACUCCUUUGAGAAAGGUGAUAGAGAAUUAAAUGGAACCAGCCAUAUGCAGAACGUCAGGGAUUAGUAGUGAUCUGGGCAGUCUGGAUGCUUAAUGAAGAGGUAGUGAGACGCGUGAUAGAAACAGCCCUCCUUCCAGCUCCUCCUCCAUACGAUGCUUGACGAUGGUACCCGUGGUAAGCCUCACACACCUCUUUCCCUGCCACGUCAGCAGAGUCCACGGAGCCCUUUUCUACAUAUCAGUUCUCAUAGCCACCGGGCAUUCAGUGGCUGUUCACAUCCCACAGGUUCCUCUGUCCUUGGAAUUCUUCAAGUAAGAAUACUGGAGUGGAUAAAAAUGCCCUUCUCCAGGGGAUCUUCCUGACCCAGAGAUCAAACCCCAGUCUCCUGCAUUGCAGCCAGAUUCUUUACCAUCUGAGCCACUAGGAAGGCCUUUUGAAGACCAUUCCCAAGAAUAAGAAAUGUUAAAGGCAAAAUGGUGAUCUGAGGAGGCCUUACAAAUAGCUGUGAAAAGAAGAGAAGCUAAAGGCAAAGGAGAAAAGGAAAGAUAUACCCAUUUCAAUGCAGAUUUCCAAAGAAUAGCAAGGAGAGAUAAGAAAGCCUUCCUCAGUGAUCAGUGCAAAGAAAGAGGAAAACAACCCAAUGGGAAAGACUAUCGAUCUCUUUAAGAAAAUUAGAGAUACCAAGGGAACAUUUCAUGCAAAGAUGGGCACAAUAAAGGACAGAAAUGGUAUGGACCUAAACAGAAGAAGAAGAUAUUAAGAAGAGGCGGAAAGAAAACACAGAAGAACUAUGCAAAAAAGAUCUUCAUGACCCAGAUAAUCACGAUGGUGUGAUCACUCACCUAGAGCCUGACAUUCUGGAAUGCAAAGUCAAGUGGGCCUUAGGAAGCAUCACUAUGAACAAGGCUAGUGGAGGUGAUGGAAUUCCAGUUGAGCUAUUCCAAAUCCUGAAAGAUGAUGCUGUGAAAGUGCUGCACUCAAUAUGAUAGCAAAUUUGGAAAAUUCAGGAGUGGCCACAGGACUGGAAAAGGUCAGUUUUCUUUCCAAUCACAAAGAAAGGCAAUGCCAAAGAAUGCUCAAACUACCACACAAUUGCACUCAUCUCACACACUAGCAAAGUAAUGUCCAAAAUUCUCCAAGCCAUGUUUCAACAGUACAUGAACCGUGAACUUCCAGAUGUUCAAGCUGGUUUUAGAAAAGGCAGAGGAACCAGAGAUCAAAUUGCCAACAUUUGUUGGAUCAUCGAAAAAGCAAGAGAGUUCCAGAGAAACACCUAUUUCUGCUUUAUUGACUAUGCCAAAGCAUUUGACUGUGUGGAUCACCACAAACUGUGGAAAAUUCUUAGAAAGAUGGGAAUACCAGAUCACCUGACUUGCCUUUUGAGAAAUCUGUAUGCAAGUCAGAAAGCAACAGUUAGAACAUGACAUGGAACAACAGACUGGUUCCAAAGGAGUACGUCAAGGCUGU
ensembl:lncRNA